AAUGAAGUGCCUGAAAAAGGGUUACCAUGAUAGGGUAAAUAAUGUAUGAAUAAAAUACCUCCAUUA
rnacentral:tRNA from 1 species